AGUUCUUCAAAUCCCUAUGCCAGGUAUUAUAUUCUUCUUGUAACUUUGGCUCCAAAUGAGCUGAGCUAAUCUUUGCUGAGCUCCGGCUUAGCUUGUCAAAUUUAUAAUGAUCUUAAGCUCAAUUUGUGCUUAGAUAUUCCAGUUCAAGAUUGGCUCACUGAAAGUUAAUGAACUCAAGCUUGAACAUUAAAAUAUCGUACUUUUUUUUGUUAAAAAAGAACUCAUUCAAAAUGGCACAUCAUAUUCUAAAGGCAUGAUACAGGUAACAAGACAUGCACAGACACAAAAUAUCUCAACCUAUAGUUUGUUGAUAAGCCUUAGAUUUUCCUAAUCAAUCAAAUGAAACAUUUGUCAGUGAUGAACUCAGGAUCCAUGCUGUUGCCCAUGAUAUAUAGA
rnacentral:misc_RNA from 1 species